CUCUCCAUUUGCAGAUACUUCAGCCACUCCU
rnacentral:piRNA from 2 species